GUACACUCCUGCGGGAGGCAGCAGUGGGGAAUUUUGGACAAUGGGCGAAAGCCUGAUUCAGCAAUGCCGCGUGAGUGAAGAAGGCCUUCGGGUUGUAAAGCUCUUUUGUCAGGGAAGAAACGGUGAAAGCUAAUAUCUUUUGCUAAUGACGGUACCUGAAGAAUAAGCACCGGCUAACUACGUGCCAGCAGCCGCGGUAAUACGUAGGGUGCAAGCGUUAAUCGGAAUUACUGGGCGUAAAGCGUGCGCAGGCGGUUUUGUAAGUCUGAUGUGAAAUCCCCGGGCUCAACCUGGGAAUUGCAUUGGAGACUGCAAGGCUAGAAUCUGGCAGAGGGGGGUAGAAUUCCACGUGUAGCAGUGAAAUGCGUAGAUAUGUGGAGGAACACCGAUGGCGAAGGCAGCCCCCUGGGUCAAGAUUGACGCUCAUGCACGAAAGCGUGGGGAGCAAACAGGAUUAGAAACCCUUGUAGUCCCAUGA
rnacentral:rRNA from 1 species